AGGACUAUACUUUCAGGGAUCAUUUCUGUAGUUGGUAACUAGAGGAGUGUGAUCGAAAGUGUCCGGCGUCACAAGCCACGAGGAGGAGCUGCGUGCUGUCUCCUGAGCGCGAGGCGGGCGGGCGGCGCUGCUGCAGUGCAGGGGCCUCCCGCCAUCGAUGACCGUUCCCGACUCCUUUAUGGGGUUGGGAGGGAGAGAGCACAGGCUGAGUGGU
rnacentral:snoRNA from 1 species